GCCUAACACAUUCAAGUCGAACGAAGCACUUAAGAUGGAGACUUCGGUCAAAGUCUUUUGAGACUUAGUGGCGGACGGGUGAGUAACGCGUGAGUAACGUGCCUGUAAUUGGGGGAUAACACAGGGAAACUUGUGCCAAUACCGCAUAAUGUAUCCGGAUCGCAUGUUCUGGAUACCAAAGAUUUAUUGAUUACAGAUGGACUCGCGUCCGAUUAGAUAGUUGGCGGGGUAAGGGCCCACCAAGUCUACGAUCGGGAGCCGGACUGAGAGGUUGAACGGCCACAUUGGAACUGAGAAACGGUCCAGACUCCUACGGGAGGCAGCAGUGGGGAAUAUUGGGCAAUGGGCGAAAGCCUGACCCAGCGACGCCGCGUGAAGGAAGAAGGUCUUCGGAUUGUAAACUUCAGUCAACAGGGAAGAAACAAAUGACGGUACCUGUGGAGGAAGCCACGGCUAACUACGUGCCAGCAGCCGCAGUAAAAC
rnacentral:rRNA from 1 species